rnacentral:tRNA from 1 species
ACCUGGCUGGCUCAGGGGUAGAGCACAUGACUCUUGAUCUUGGGGUCUUGAGUUCAACCCCCAUGUCGAGUG